GAUGAACGCUGGCGGCGUGCCUAAUACAUGCAAGUCGAGCGAACGGGCGAGUAGCUUGCUUCUCUGAUGUUAGCGGCGGAAGGGUGAGUAACAUAUGGAUAACCUACCUAUAAGACUGGGCUAACUUCGUGAAACCGGAGCUAGUACCGUAUAACAUUUUGAACGGCAGGGUUCAAAAGUUAAGGACGGUCUUGCUGUCACUUCUAGAUGGAUCCGCGCUGCAUUAGCUAUUUGGUAAGGUAACGGCUUACCAAAGCAACGAUGCAUAGCCGACCGGAGAGGGGGAUCGGCCACACUGGAAGUGAGACACGAUCCAGACUCCUACGGGAGGCAGCAGUAGGGACUCGUGCGCGAUGGGCGAAAGCCUGACGGAGCAACGCCGCGUGAGUGAUGAAGGUCUUCGGAUCGUAUGACUCUGUUAUUGGGGAAGAACAUAUGUGUAAGUAACUGUGCACAUCUUGACGGUACCUGAACAGAAAGCAACGGCUAACUACGUG
rnacentral:rRNA from 1 species